rnacentral:rRNA from 1 species
GACGAACGCUGGCGGCGUGCUUAACACAUGCAAGUCACGGGGGCCCGCAAGGGCAACCGGCGAACGGGUGCGUAACACGUGAACAACCUGCCCUCGUGUGGGGGAGUAGCCAUGCUAACGCGUGGGUAAUACCGCAUACGUUCUUUUGGGGAGUCCCUGGAAGAGGAAAGCUCCGGCGCACGGGGAGGGGUUCGCGGCCUAUCAGCUAGUUGGCGGGGUAAUGGCCCACCAAGGCGACGACGGGUAGCUGGUCGAGAGGAUGGCCAGCCACAUUGGGACUGAGAGACGGCCCAGACUCCUACGGGAGGCAGCAGUGGGGAAGUCUUGCGCAAUGGCCGAAAGGCUGACGCAGCGACGCCGCGUGUGGGAUGAAGCAUUUCGGUGUGUAAACCACUGUUGCCCGGGACGAACAGCCUUUUCGAGAGGUCUGACGGUACCGGGUGAGAAGCACCGGCUAACUCCGUGCCAGCCGCCGCA